rnacentral:rRNA from 1 species
AUUGAACGCUAGCGGAAUGCUUUACACAUGCAAGUCGAACGGCAGCAACAGAAAGCUUGCUUUCUGGGUGGCGAGUGGCGAACGGGUGAGUAAUGUAUCGGAACGUAUCCAAUAGUGGGGGAUAACUACGCGAAAGCGUGGCUAAUACCGCAUACGUCCUACGGGAGAAAGCAGGGGACCUUUUAGGCCUUGCGCUAAUGGAGUGGCCGAUAACGGAUUAGCUAGUUGGUGGGGUAAAGGCCUACCAAGGCGACGAUCCGUAGCUGGUUUGAGAGGACGACCAGCCACACUGGGACUGAGACACGGCCCAGACUCCUACGGGAGGCAGCAGUGGGGAAUUUUGGACAAUGGGGGCAACCCUGAUCCAGCCAUUUCGCGUGUGUGAAGAAGGCCUUCGGGUUGUAAAGCACUUUUGCCAGGGAAGAAAAGGGACUAACUAAUAAUUGGUUCUGCUGACGGUACCUGGAGAAUAAGCACCGGCAAACUACGUGCCAGCAGCCGCGGUAAUACGUAGGGUGCGAGCGUUAAUCGGAAUUACUGGGCGUAAAGGGUACGCAGGCGGCAUGGCAAGAAGGAUGUGAAAUCCCAGGGCUCAACCUUGGAACUGCAUUCUUAACUGCCACGCUAGAGUAGGUCAGAGGGGGGUAGAAUUCCACGUGUAGCAGUGAAAUGCGUAGAGAUGUGGAGGAAUACCGAUGGCGAAGGCAGCCCCCUGGGAUCAUACUGACGCUCAUGUACGAAAGCGUGGGGAGCAAACAGG